rnacentral:rRNA from 1 species
CCAAUAGCGUAUAUUAAAGUUGUUGCAGUUAAAAAGCUCGUAGUUGAAUUUCGGGAUUGACGUGAUGGUCGUGCCUUAAGGGGUAUGAACUGUUACUGUUGAUUUCUCACCUUCUGGAGAAUCUUGAUGUCCUUAAUUGGGUGUCUUGUGGAUCCAGGACCUUUACCUUGAAAAAAUUAGAGUGUUUAAAGCAGGCAUUU